rnacentral:misc_RNA from 1 species
UCCCUUCUCUCCUUCCUUUUACUUUCAUCAUUCAUUUAAUCCUCUCUUCUUUUCCCUCACAUUGCGCCCCCUGGUAUUCCGGGGGGCAUGCCUGUCCGAGCGUCAUUGCUGCCCUCAAGCACGGCUUGUGUGUUGGGCUUCCGUCCCUGGCAACGGGGACGGGCCCAAAAGGCAGUGGCGGCACCAUGUCUGGUCCUCGAGCGUAUGGGGCUUUGUCACCCGCUCCCGUAGGUCCAGCUGGCAGCUAGCCUCGCAACCAAUCUUUUUAACCAGGUUGACCUCGGAUCAGGUAGGGAUACCCGCUGAACUUAAGC